CAGCCAUUAAGCUCCAAGAUAAGCCCAAUGAAGAUAAAUUACACCCAUGUUUACACGAAUCCAACUAGUGUGUUAAAGGCUUGGCCCCGGCCCAAACGCGAAGGGAAUUAAAGCUGGCCUAGGCCCACGCCAAACCAAGCAGAACCUCAAUUCAACUAACACAAUUCUGCUGAGUUACUUCCAGAUAUCUUAAAUGCACUCAAUAACUUGUAACAAAGAGGAGCAAAGGGUACUUAUUCGUCAAUGAUCGUUUUAGCUUAGCUUCAUGCCAAGAUUACUAUUUUUACUGAUUUGCCUACUGGUGAGUUCCUAGAUGAUACUAAUGGUGAAAAACAAACUGGAUCGAAUUUUAUCUGCAGUAGUAGCAGCUCAAUUACAUAGUUUCACUUAACACUACAUGCGAACAGGUUCAGGUACAAAUUCAAAGCAAACUAACUCUUUUCAGACUAAUUCAAAUCAACAUUACUAAACCAACACUCAAUACUCAGGUGAUUUCGUGAUUUUGGGACCUGUAUUACUGAAGUUAGUUACUGAAACAUAAAACCAUUUGAAUCUAUUUCUACAACCAAAACUAAGUCAGACGUUUAAAUCAUAAUACGAAUACAGAAAGUAAUAGUCAUACAGUCUAGUUAUUACAAAUUGUAAAGUGUUCCAAUCAUCUAAUUUUCCACUAAUUUUACUGUGUAUAUAGCAUUCAGAUUAACAUGACAUUAAACAAACAAACAUCAAAUUAACACGAGUCAGAUUUCAUUUCUUCAAUUAAGUAAUACACAUUGACUGAUUCAAUCCUUCACACAUCAAUUGAAGCUGGAAAUGUACCAUUUUUGACUUCUCUUCUCAGUAUCAAAAUUAGCCCUUCCCCUGUGAUAUUUGAGGGCUACUGACAAUGAAUUCGACACAAGGGAGGCGAGGGGAUCAGAUGACGCGAGUUUAACUGAAUUUGGGAAGUUAGGGUUUUGACCGGAAACUUCAAAUCGAUAUGCGAAGAGUUUAGUUCAGAUUUGAGGAACGACGUUUGGGAACUUGAAAGAGGAGAUCACGGUGGUUCUAGAGUGUUAAUUUGAGCUGGAUUGGGUCACUUAGGAUUUUGGCAGGAUUUGUUUGAUCCGAUAUUCGAUGGGUUGGGAUGGGAUUCGAGGGAAACAUGUUGUGGAUUUGUAACGGGGAGGAGGAGAGGAGUAAGGGGUGUAAUUUUGGUGGUGUUUGGAGGUGGGACGCCGACGGUGACGAUUUUCGGCUGGCGGUUUUAGGUUAGAGGCUCUAAGGGUUUGGAGACGAUGAUGGAGGGGGUGGGUGGUGAGGUCUCCGACAUUUAAAUAUCAAGAUUAACCCAGUUCCUGACCGUUGGAUCAAAGAUCCUAGACGGCUAGGAUUAACUCCCACAAAACGAUGCCACUUGAUUAAUUAACGGGGCGGACCCGGUGGGAAGGAGAUUUGGGCUAUUGAGUGGGAGUGAUUUAAUUUGGCCAGGCGGAAUUAAUCCAAAAGCCCAAUUCGGAUCUUCUUUGAG
rnacentral:lncRNA from 1 species